CCUACGGGAGGCAGCAGUGAGGAAUAUUGGUCAAUGGACGCAAGUCUGAACCAGCCAUGCCGCGUGCAGGAAGACGGCUCUGUGAGUUGUAAACUGCUUUUGUACGAGGAUAAACGCAGAUACGCGUAUCUGUCUGAAAGUAUCGUACGAAUAAGGAUCGGCUAACUCCGUGCCAGCAGCCGCGGUAAUACGGAGGAUUCAAGCGUUAUCCGGAUUUAUUGGGUUUAACGGGUGCGUAGGCGGUCGGAUAAGUUAGAGGUGAAAUCCCGAGGCUCAACUUCGGAAUUGGCUAUGAUACUGUUCGGCUAGAGAGUAGUUGAGGUAGGUGGAAUGUAUGGUGUAGCGGUGAAAUGCUUAGAGAUCAUACAGAACACCGAUUGCGAAGGCAGCUUACC
rnacentral:rRNA from 1 species